UCCUCGUUAGACGAGGCAGUCUGUCCAGAGUGCUCCCCGCUCUCGCGGGGGUGGCAACAGGACACAAGGGUUGCGCUCGUUGCGGGACUUAACCCAACAUCUCACGACACGAGCUGACGACAGCCAUGCAGCACCUGUGCAAACUGGUCUUGCGACCUCGUCAGACUUUCAUCCUUCUACUAUUUGCAUGUCAAGCCCAGGUAAGGUUCUUCGCGUUGCAUCGAAUUAAGCCACAUACUCCACCGCUUGUGCAGGCCCCCGUCAAUUUCUUUGAGUUUUAAUCUUGCGACCGUACUUCCCAGGCGGUGCGCUUAUCGCGUUAGCUACGCCACAAAAGGGGUCGAUUCCUCUUACAGCAAGCGCACACCGUUUACAGCUAGGACUAC
rnacentral:misc_RNA from 1 species